rnacentral:rRNA from 1 species
CUACGGGAGGCUGCAGUAAGGAAUAUUGGACAAUGGAGGAAACUCUGAUCCAGCCAUGCCGCGUGAGUGAUGAAGGCCUUCGGGUUGUAAAGCUCUUUUAGGUGUGACGAUGAUAACGGUAACACCAGAAAAAGCCCCGGCUAACUUCGUGCCAGCAGCCGCGGUAAUACGAAGGGGGCGAGCGUUGUUCGGAAUCACUGGGCUUAAAGCGUACGUAGGCGGAUUAACAAGUCAGAAGUGAAAGCCCAGGGCUUAACCCUGGAAUUGCUUUUGAAACUGUUAGUCUGGAAUCCGGUAGAGGUUGGCGGAACUCCGAGUGUAGAGGUGAAAUUCGCAGAUAUUCGGAAGAACACCAGUGGCGAAGGCGGCCAACUGGACCGGUAUUGACGCUGAGGUACGAAAGCGUGGGUAGCAAACAGGAUUAGAUACCCCCGUAGUC